CGUCUGUGUAUCCUUUCCCCUACUACCCAUCUUCUCCCCCUCAUCACCUACCCUCACCACACACACACUCCUUAAGUAGGACCGCACUUCAAAGUAAGGACCACUUCAGCAGUUUAUGAACAUCAGGAUAUGCUUUUAUUGAUGAGAGAGAGAGAGAGAGAGAGAGAGAGAGAGAGAGAGAGAGAGAGAGAGAGAGAGAGAGAGAGAGAGAGAGAGAGAGAGAGAGAGAGAGAGACAGAGAGCAGUUGCUUUACUUAUGCACUCCACAUCCCCCCCUCUCAUUUCACCUUCCAGUCAGGUACAAAGGGUAGCAAUUAUAUAGACUGUAAUACAUAGUAAUACAUGGUUAGGAAAUAAAUACUUACCUUGACUAUUGUAUAACAAAACACAUCUAUAUCCUUAUACUGUACAGAAAGGUUCAACUGUAUUUUAAGCCUUCCCUGUUGUGGUCUUGAUGGUUCCCUUUUGUGCUCACACAUGUCUGCUCCUGGAUCAGUGUGUCCUGACACAGUGUCUCUGUUAUUUAUAUCUGCCAUACCGGUGAGCGCUGUUCUCAGGUCAGUGGUGCCCAUCCCUGACACGGUGUCUCUGUUAUAGUUGCCCUCUUUUGAGCGCUGUUCUCAGGUCAGAGAGUCAGUCUUGGUGUGUCUGUCAGACAUUCUGUGUCUCUCUCUUCAGUGGUCCGGUGUGAUCAAUGCAGAGCUACAGCUGGUUGAAGGGGACCAAAUCCAUUCAACAGUUGAUUUGGUUCCAUUUUACCAGCUUUAGCAAAGCAUUUUUGGUGUGAAGUUCUUCAGUGCAGCCAGAAGAGGUGAGGUGGGACAGCUUCAGUCUUAGAAGAGAGGGAACAGAAAGGAGGAGAGGAUGGUUGGUGACGUUUCAUCAAAACACCGGUCCACAUAGACAGCACGCAUAGACAAAGAAGUGAUUAUUGGAGAAAAUGAUGGCAUUAUAUGAGUUCCUAGGCAUGCACGGUGUAACAAAAGGGUAGGAGAGAACUAAGGAAAUAACUUUUAUUUUACCACGGCCAAACCCUAACGACGCUGGGCCAAUUGUGCACCGCCCUAUGGGACUCUCAAUCACGGCCAGUUGUGAUACAGCCUGGAAUUGAACUAAGGUCUGGAGUGACACCUCCAGCACAAAGAUGCAGUGCCUUAGACCACUGCACCACUCUGGAGCCCAUGGCAAAACUAUGGCAGUUAUGAUGUCAUUAUGAGUUCCUAGGCAUGCGACAAGAGGGUAACAAGAGGGUAGGAGAGAACUGAGGAAAGAACAAUGGCACUUAUAGAGCAGAGAAAGGAGAGGAGGAGAGGAGGAGAGGAGGAAAGGAGAAGAGGAGAGGAGAAAGAGAAGACGAGAGGAGGAGAGGAGGAGGAGAGAAAGAGAGGAGGAGGGAAGGAGGAGGAGAGGAGAGGAGAGGAGAGGAGAGGAGAGGAGAGGAGAAAGAGAGGAGAGGAGAAAGAGAGGACGAGAGGAGGAGGAGAGAAAGAGAGGAGGAGAGGAGGAGGAGGAGAGGAGAAGAGGAGAGGAGAGGAGAAAGAGAGGACGAGAGGAGGAGGAGAGAAAGAGAGGAGGAGGAUAGAAAGAGAGGAGGAGGAGGGAAGAGAGGAGGAGAGGAGGAGGUGAGGAGGAGGAGAGGAUGAGGUGAGGAGCGAGAGAAGAAAGGAGAUAGGAGUGAGGCCCCGAGAUAUAUCAGGAGGAGAGAGAGGAUGGUAAGAGAUCUGAAAACACAAUUUUUAGCUUUGUUUUUCCUUAAGGUGUUUUUUUAGUUGUUC
rnacentral:lncRNA from 1 species